CAGGCUGUAUUAGCUAGCUACGUUUGCUCUUACUCAGUACAUUAUUUAGCUAGCUAUUAGCAUUAGCGGUUAACAAUUAACAUCUCGCAAGAUUUAGGGCAACUUGCUAAGAAAAGACAAACUAGCUGUGUUGAUGUAAGAAACAAACUUAUAGUGUCAUUGUAGAAUGCUAGUGUAUUUAUAUUAAGAAGCAGUGACAACUGCAGACUGAACGCAAGUCUCGUGGUUGAGGAACAUCAAAUGCACUCCUUGAGUGACGGGUGCGUAGCUAGGUCUGAGAAAAGCGGAGAGAUAUGACUCAAGUAGCGAAGUAAACUAUGAAAAAUUGACAUUACACAUGGCGUCUCACAUUUUAAAUAAACCAAACAUUCAAAUACCAGUAUUGAAGGUAGUUAAAAACCCAAACCGGUCCCUGCAUCAAUACCGGUAUAUCAUAAAAUGCGAUAUACCGUCCAGCCCUACAUGGAAAUAGAAUGGUUAUUCUAUGGUUAGAAUAUAAUAGGCUCUUUCAAUAGUGUUUGACAUGACGACAAAUGUAAAUGCCAGGGAGGAGGUAUUGUGACAGGGUAAGUGUUUCCUAGGGGACCCUAUAAUCUUUGGCUUCAUUGAAUGUUUUCUUUUAGCUACUUCACGUAGCUAACAUAUUCAUGCUUCUGGUAUUCCUCUUUUGAUUUAGAUACUUUUGCACAAACAUGCUGAUAUAGGUCUAUGCCAUCACUGUUAUUAUCAGGCUAUAUAGCCAAUUACAUUUGCGCUGACUCAGUAGCCAGCUAACUAGCGAUUAGCAUUAGUGACUAACACAAUUUAGUCCUAACUUGCUAAGAAAAGACAAGCUAGCUGUUUGCAGACGUAAGAGAAACGAAUAGUGUAAUUUUAUAGAACGCUUGUGAAAACUGCAUCGUUAUCAACAGUGCUGCAUUUGCCGUACAGACUGAACACAAAGUGUUGUGGUCAAAGAACAACAAAUGUGCCCCUUGAGUGACGGCAGGGCUAGGUCUAUGGGAAGUGGCAUAGAGGGAGUGGAGGUGGACGACUCGAGUAGCAAAGUGAACAAUAAAAAUGGACAUUACACAUGGCGUAUCACAUUUAACAGACCUAACAUUCAAAUACCGCUUAUAGAAGUUAAAGUAAAAACUCAUCGUUCCGUGCAUCAAUACUGGUAGAUUGUUAAAUACGGUAUACUGCCCAGCUCUGUGUAAACACAAACAUGCAUCCAUAACACUAUUAUAUUCCACAGCACUUAAGCUACAGUAGAGCCUCUUUGAACCGAUCUCUUCCACUUUGUAGCGUCGGGUCUAGUCCUUAUAAAGUGUAGGGCCAUUUCUGUUGUCUUGACUACACCUAGAUUUGAACAGCACAGCCUUUAAAGAGUACCCGACCUUUGAUCUUCUAGACUAGGCUGUAUCUGACCAGGACCGAGGCCAGCAACAAACAUUUAACAUGUCCCACCAUUUGUACUUCAGUUGUCUUUCACGCAAGGCUGGAUGCUGAUAGGUCAGUUCUGCUGUACUGUAGACUAGAGCACCUCACCAAAGAUGGAACCCUGGCUAAGCUUGGCCCCUUCAUGUUUUUCCUCUUGAAACUUGGCUCACGAUAUGAGAUUAAUGCAAGGUUGUGGCAUCAUGACUCACACAGUCAAGCAGGGUCUCUGGUUUUUACACGGACAAGUGGUGGGGCUGAAAGUCUAGUUCCCAGUUUAACUGAAAUGAUUUGUUAGUUUUACUGAAAUGCCUUGCCUUUUUAAAAGGCAGUAUGGCUAGGACCAGGAACAAGAUGUAUUUUCCUUAGGCGGAAGUUCGGGUGUCUUGGUAUUUGUUCUGCCACUGUAGGAUAACCGUUAUCUCUGGGAUCUAUUAAAUACAGACCUCUUGCCUGUCACGUUUUGUUGCUCCGCUGAGAUCUCAUUGAUGUGUGCCGGCAGCUGCUCUGUGCAAUUGUCUUGAAGUUAUACACCCCUGGAUACCACAACAUGUGCAGUUGCCAGUACCCACCCUUCUGGGAGGGAAAGAGGAAUAUGGACAGAGGGACUGAUUCAGUUAGUGACAGCACUGCAGCUGUAACCAGAGUAAGAAUCAAUGGGACGGAGUCAAGAGAAAGAGCGGAGAGGAAACGGGACUUUCAUGGAACAGUCCACAUGGAAUGGAAAGGAACAGGUCAGAAAAGUGUGAAACCAGUUGGAUGACCAAGUGGCCAUUUUUAAGCACAGGGAUAUCUGAAGUACAUCCAUCCACACUACGCCCUUCCUUUGUGCACUAAUAUACUUUGUCAUGAUAGUAAAACCUGAGAUCGCUAUCAUAUCUAGAGUUCAGUGUGGCUCAUGUCUAGCUCCCUCCAGUGUCUUCCUCUGUUCAGCUGAGUACUUCAAAGCACUCCUCUCUUAUCUGUUAAAGAAUGCAUCUUUUUUUUUUUUUUACGGCUGUCCUUUGGACCUUUUUUAAAGGAAUGCUUGCAUGGGGAAGCAUAUACUUGUUUGGGAUGUCACCACAUUAUCCUAUAGCCUAUAAUGGCCAACAGCUGUCUUCCCCCACCAAACCAUGGAUUCUGUUUGUUUUGUCUUUCUGCUGCUCUGACACUGAAGGUUAAGCUUAAAGGAAUGUCUUCAAUGCUUGGGAGUCAAAGAAUAGGCUAUGUCAUAACCAACCACAAAUUCAGAUUUUUCUCCCUGUGACGGCAAUAAAUGAAUUCAACACUGAA